rnacentral:lncRNA from 1 species
AAGGUUAUAGGAGGUGGUGCUAGCAUGAUAUCCUGACACUCAUUUUGAACAAGAAGUUGCUGAUGUAGUGCAUGGACCACUUGAGUAGCUGAUCGGUCUCCAAUUCUACUUGUUUUCUGACACUCAUUCGGCACAAUUUCACGAAGUCGGCAACACAUUAUUCUACCUGUUUUCUUGUUCUGUUUAGUAAAUUAGAUAUUUGCAUUUUUAUUUCAGUUUGAUGAUUUCU